GAUGAACGCUAGCGGUAGGCUUAACACAUGCAAGUCGAGGGGCAGCAUGGUCUUAGCUUGCUAAGACUGAUGGCGACCGGCGCACGGGUGCGUAACGCGUAUGCAACUUGCCUCACAGAGGGGGAUAACCCGUCGAAAGACGGACUAAUACCGCGUACACUUGGGAUAGGGCAUCCUGACCCAAGGAAAUGAAAUUCGCUGUGAGAUAGGCAUGCGUCCCAUUAGCUAGUUGGUGAGGUAACGGCUCACCAAGGCGACGAUGGGUAGGGGAACUGAGAGGUUGAACCCCCACACUGGUACUGAGACACGGACCAGACUCCUACGGGAGGCAGCAGUGAGGAAUAUUGGUCAAUGGGCGAGAGCCUGAACCAGCCAAGUCGCGUGAAGGAUGACUGUCUUAUGGAUUGUAAACUUCUUUUAUACGGGAAUAACAAGAGCCACGUGUGGCUCCCUGCAUGUACCGUAUGAAUAAGCAUCGGCUAACUCCGUG
rnacentral:rRNA from 1 species